UUUGAUGGAUGUCAUAUUGUUGUGUAAUCUGUUCUUACAUCUUCUUUUAGACACCUUUUCUCAAUUUUGUACAGUUUGUUUUAUUUUUUAGUAAUAAUACUGUUCUCUUUUGUGUAUAGACCUAACAAUACAAUGUUAGUGAACACAUAAGUUAAUACGUAUCUGCUUCUUUUUUUUAUUUGUUUUCACAUCUUUAGCGAUAGAUCAAUAACAGAUAAAAUUGAAUACUCCAGUUCUUAAAGAUAUUAAAUGGUUUUAAUUUGAGUGCUAGUGUCUGUGUUGAAGUGUUUUCGCAUGCGUUAGAAAGGGACUGCAAGAGAGUAGAGUUGGGAAUCAGAUAAUAUCACAAACAUUGUGGGGACUCUCUAAACCUUUUUGCACAGCCAAACCCACUCUAGUGCCAGUGACUGCCACCCAAUGACUUUCACUUAUAUAGGACUUUUCUUUCUCCUUUCAUUCCAAAAAUAUCUCUUCAUGAAUGAUUACAAAUUACAGCGAAUACAAUUAAGUGAUCGUAAAGCGUACUCGCGAUAUGUGUAUUAAAUUGUUAUAUCAUUCUGACAUCACGAUGCUUUAUCUUUUUUAUUAAUCAUGGAGUCGUUGAAUUGGAAAGGAACAAGUUUGCUUUUUAUAGGGUGAAUUUGUAUUUUUCAACUAGAAACAGUUUAUAAACAAUGCAUGACUGAUAAGAGCAUCAACAUCAGUGUGCUCUGACACCUGCUCUCUUAAUAAAAAUAAAUAUAAUCAACUAAAUAUUAUUAUCUGAGAGCA
rnacentral:lncRNA from 1 species